UCCGGACUGACCACAAAAGUUGCAUCAGGAAACUCACAAAAACAAGGACGAUUACAACGAGAUCAACGAGAAUGUAUGAACCAUACCAUUUUUAGCUCAAUAACUUAUUAAACAAGAUGUUUUUGAAGUUUCCCACAUGAACACAACAAUAAUUAUCAGAAAAAUAAAGUGCUUCCGCACAUGGGUACAAAAAAACUUCCAGCACACUUGGUCCUGCUCCUUGUCUUCGGUAUCAGUUCAACAGGUAGCGUGUUUUAGUGCUUCCACAGGAGGAUUGCAUUAACCAAGAAAUCACUUUUUUCACAAAACUAAACUCUUGAACUUGCUACAUGGCAGUCUUUGAACCUCCUACAGGAACAGAAUAUAUAUCAUACAACAUAUAUAUAUUGCAAACUUGGAGCUUGUACUCAAUAAGAAUCUCUUGUUUCUUGGGCACAUAUCAACAGAAAACGCUAAAUAGAAUUGCUUGCUGUACUAUAUUUUAUAGAACAAAUUGUACUGAACUUAACUAAAAUUAGAAAUUGUACUGAACUAAAAUAAGAAACUUAAACUGAGUGUGUCACUAAAAUAAGAAGUAGAACAUGUAGGUCUGAGAAGGCAUGGAUGUGAACUUUAUUUGUGCAAUGAAACCAAACACUCAGAGUCUCGCUUUUUUAUUCUCACAUUUAGAUAUUGAUUUGCAAAUGACAGCAUGUGGACUCAGCUCAUGAACAUAUCAUCCUUGCUGCUGGUUUAUCAAUAACACUUUUUUCUGGAUGAAACCAUGCAAUCCCAUCAUCAAUUGUAAAAAGAAAACUCCUUUCUUUUUCAUUUUCCCAUGCAAUAACACAAGAAAAAAAAUCAACAAACCACAAUGGUAAGACCAAAGCUACAUGACAAUACCUUUUCUUGAGCUAGCUACUACAUGUACUGACUCCUCCACCACUGUAGCGUCCCUGUAUCCUCCUUGCGCGGGCAACCACUAGGGAUCAAGCGCUGCUGCCGCUCGACACAUUGAACCACCUGUAGGAAUCAAAGUGAACGGAAGGGAUUCGAACACAUCAAUGGACACAUGUACUACACAGCAAUGUGAAUCUGUACUGUCCAUGACAACAAACUAACAAAAAUACAAUUUAUGAAGGAAAACAGUUCUUUGAAAUUGGGUUGAGCUUAAAUUGUUAGAUUUUUUGAACUCCUACAGCAGUUAUACUUGGACUUGCACGACACAUUUUUGAAAGCAUCUGAUGUUCAGAAUAUGCUAUAUGAAAAGAGGAAGGGGUAACACACUAAGAGACAUAGGCGAAAGAGAGAAAAUCAUGAUCUAUUUAGCUAGGAUAUUUAUGAUACUAGGCAGUGACAUACAUGUCAAACCAUUCCCACCAAGAAGUAGUAGCAGGGUUCUUCUAUCAGUGAGGAGAUGCAAAAUAAAUGCAACUAUACAUUGAAAAUUCCAAUAAAAGCAUUGAAAAAACCCUACUGUUGGCCGUUUGCAAUGCAACUUAGAGGAUUGAAAUACACAAGCAUCAUGGGAGAACUAAAUCAAAUAAAGUACCUUUCUUCCUGCACCUAUCUACUUUGCAUUAUAUGUUGCACGAACCCCACAUUGAACAGCUCGUUACCAUUGCUAGUUUGAACUGAAGUAAAUUUAGUACUCCCUCCUUCCCAAAUUGUUAGGCGUAUUAGCUUUUGCAUGCAAUCCGAAUAUGUAAGGCACAUGCAAACAACUCCUUCUCUCAAGCAGUUAAAAUAUCCUGUAAAAUAUCCUGACAAUCGCUAAAUUCCUGGAAAUUAGGGAGUACUAGUAGGUAACGAAGGGAUCGUGCAGUUAAAAGACGUGGUCAAAGAGAUCGUGCAUGCCUCCCUUUCCUUUUUUUGAGGUCGUACAUGCCUCCGUCUCUCAUACCUGUACGAUAGCUUGAGUAACAAACGAUGUGCGCUAAUUUUCGUGCUGAAAUCUAAAGCGCCUAACAAUAUGGGAAGGAGGGAGUAACAUUUUUGAACUGAAGUAAAUUUAUUAAUUGAACUGAACUAAAAAAUUAAUUUAGUAAUCGAACUGCUAGUUUUUUUUUCCUGUGUGCACUGAAGAACUACUGCAGGUCAUACAUCAAAUAUACUAGAGAAAACCGGACAUGUGUGGCGGCGCCGGUGCAGCACGGUGUCCUCGCUGAAGAAGCAUCAUGAAUUGCUAGAGAAAACUGUAUGUGAUUUUUUUAUGAACUGAAAAAGAGCUCUUGUUUGUUAGAGAAUUGAAGAAAUAAAUAUUGGGGCCCGCUGUAAUGCAUAUAUCCACAAAUUCAGACACCAAAACUAAAAAUAAUAGAAAAGAAAUUAGAUAAUGUUAAAUUUGACACGUCUCAGUUUUUAGCAUCACUUCUAAACUUUUUUUUCACUCCUAUCUAAUCUUCAACAAAUUCUCUAGUGGACCUACCAUUAUUGUAAAAAAUAAUCAACAUGAAUGAUCUCCACCCGUCACCAAUUUACUCAAACUAUCCACACUCAUAUGAGCUUUCCAUUCAAGAUUUCCCGUCCUAUCUUCUUCUAAACAAAUUGAGAACUCUAACCACGUUUUUUCGGAAGCUAUACUGAAAUGCUAGCACAUGUACUACUUUACAGCAACUAUCUUUCGAACAAAACAUAAUUAAAAGUUGCAAGCAUUUGAAUAGGAGGAAGUCCAACUCAGCUGCAAGCAUAAGGUCAACCAGAGCAUCAGAAUAAGUACACUCAGCUUCAAACAAAUUUGAGAGAUUGAGGGACUACAUGGGUUGUUAUCUCCAAAGAACAUUUGGUGAAUAGAGAAAUGGAUUUAUGAGAUUGACAUUGUCCUGUUUAGACUAUCUACCCAAACAGGGAUAGGAGUUUGACUACGCCGGACAUUUUUCUGCGCUACAUAGUGUGUAGACAUGCUGCCAAGGUCUCACACAUGGUUUGCUAGAACAAGUUGAAAUAAAUAUCUUUUUCAUUUUGAACUUUGAAAGAAGCUACAACUUUGGCAAAUGUAUGCAGAAUUUUAAAUUUCCGACCACAUACCUUCUGUUCUUGUUUGUUGCCGGGCACGCCGCUCCUACUCCUGUGGACUGACUGCGCCGACGAAGUCGAGCUGAAGGAGCGGGGAUCACGAGCGGCGGCUGGGUGCGCCGGGAUUUUGCCGCUGUAGGGGGAUCCCAGCUACUACCAAGUCAUUCCCGAGGAGCUUGUAGAGGCGGGGUAGUUGGUCGCAGGUCAGUCGGUGUAAGUUUGAACUAUCAGGUGUGCCGGGAUUUGGCCGCUGUAGAGAAACAAGAAGUCAGAACAAACAGGAGCUAUAUAAUGACGUGCUUCCUGGGCAGUCCAAAAGCAGCAGCCGCACAAGUUCAGUAGCCGCUCAACACGCGCACCUACUCGAUGGGAAUUUACACAGACUGUUUGGAAUUUAUACAAACCUUUAAAACAUGAACUCUGUGGUCCAAAACUUAGUGUUUGAACUAAAAUGCAUGUUUUAACUAAGUUGCACGAUAGCUCAAAUUUGAAACCAAAUCAUUCAGAAAUUGCACCAAAUAUAUCACAUUUUUGCAAAGAUGAAAUGUAUCUAGUGUUGCUAGCAAGUUGAUUAAUAGAACGACUCUAUGUAUCUCUCUUAUUUCUGUCCAUGAUGGUAUGGUAAGUGAUAACAAUAUACAAUGUACAAUACACACAUGUACUACACAAGACUCUACGUCUGUACUGCCAAGAACAAUAAAUUAACCAAAAGAAAACUAAUUUAUGAAGGAAACAAUUCUUAAACUUUGGUUAGAGCUUUGUUCGUUGAGAUUUUUGAACUCAGUAGUUAUACAUAAACUUGCGCUACACACUUCUUAUUCAGUUGAGAGCGUCUGAUAUUUUUGCAACACCAAUAACAUUCUAACCCUUUUAGCAAGUUGUAACAGAGUCAAAAGGCGUGUAUGAGAACUUGUUCCGACAAUCUGAAUCUAUAAAUAGUAAAGUGUAUACACUUCUUUUAACCAAGAAAGUAAUAACUAGUUUCUGCUAAUCUGGAGACAGUAAGGUUCAGUUUUUAAAGUAAGCUGCUACAGCCAGUAGGGACUCAGUACACUCAGUAAAAAAAAUAUCUGGAAGGCAAAAUAACACCAAGAUUCUGCAAAAAAUAAAUCAUACAAAAUAACCCAAAUAAUCAAGAACUUCCUGUAUGUUAGUUUUUGAACUCCCUUGAACAAAACUGUUUGCUUUUUUCUGUUGCCUACGCCACUUACAUACAAACAGAAAUAAAUUUGUAGACCAAAGGACUCAGCAAAUUGAACCAUUAAUUUUCCAACCAGAGAACUGCAGCAGUUAGCAAAGUGAACUAUUUCCUCACUGAUUUUCCAACCAAAAAUCACAUAUUUUUAAACGAAACCAAACUUUUUCAAUGAACUUCUAUAGGUUUAUCUAUUCGAACUUACCAACUUUCCAAACAAGUACUUAGCUCGCUUAUCUUCUUUCCUUCAUGAUGGAAUUAGAAGUGCACAACAUAGAAGCAUUAACACAUGGAUCAACUAGGGCAAACAACAGAACACAAAACUAAACAGAAAUUAAACCAAACAAUAGGGCACAGUUUUACUCUCUAGUAUACUAACCACUUCAGAAUAUUCAGUACAGUGGUAAUAGUAAUUUGCUCAUCCAUUUGGUAAUUUCUUAAGGUUAUGAAAUUAGAUUUUUAGAGGUUUCAUGAGAAAUCAAAUAUGUUCAUUCCGUACAUGUGAAUGAAUUGUCCCUGCUUUGGUCUGCUUAUUGCUAACCAUCAGCAAACAUUCUAGAGGAACUACAAAAUGAUUAAAGAGUACUAUAUAAAUUUCUUUAUCUGGCAAAUUAUGAAAUAGAUCUUAAACCUUUUUAGAAGAUGCUAUUUGUGUGCAACUUUUCUGUGAGUCCAUUUGAUCCAGAUAAAAUCACAUCAGAUUGGGGGGAAAGUUAGAUCAUGCUGUCAUAUGCACAACUGAGCUAAGUUGAUAUAUGCAUCUGUAAUGUAAUUAUUUAGCUUGCCAUUUCAUCAAACAGGUGCUAGGCACCUUGACUUCUCAACUUUCAUGAUCUUUCGAGAUGAACAAGUGCAUUUUUUUAUGGAACCAAACUUCUGAACAUUUUCCAAGACACUCUUUGAACGUGUGGUGGCGUGCACCAGUGCCGGCAAAGCUCGUACGUGAAGGAGCAUGGCAGGAGGAGCUCGGACGGAUAAGGGGGGAAUAGUUGGACUGAUGUGAGCCCCAUACCUGGAUGAGGACCGGAGGAAGUAGUCCGUGUGGGCGGCGGGGGCUGUCUGUAGAACUGAGCUUUUUUUCGUGCAGUUCAUCCAACCUCCCUCGUGCUGCAGCACAGAGAGAAACAAAUUAGUGAGAGAACCUCCCUCGUGCUCCAUGACCUCGACGUCGUGCCGUGGGGAUCCGCGGACAGGGUAGCAGUGGGGGUGCGUCAGGGGCCACGGCCGCGCACGAGGUAAGGCGCACCGGCGGCGAUGGCGUGCCGCGAGGACCGGGGGCGGUGGCGCGCUUGGCCGGAGGAGGGGGACAGGGGCAGCGGCGCGCUUGGCCGGAGGAGGAAGGAGGACCGGGGGCGGCGGCGAGCUUGGCCGGAGGAGGAAGGAGGACCGGGGGCGGCGGCGAGCUUGGCCGGAGGAGGAAGGAGGCCCGGGGCGGCGGCGCGCUGGUGGGAGCACGCUCGGGCGGCGGCGGGAUGCAGGGGUGGAUUGGGGUCCUAGUGAAAGACGAUGGGGUGUGGGGCUUUUUUCCAUUUU
rnacentral:lncRNA from 1 species